CUACGGGAGGCAGCAGUGGGGAAUAUUGGACAAUGGGCGCAAGCCUGAUCCAGCCAUACCGCGUGGGUGAAGAAGGCCUUCGGGUUGUAAAGCCCUUUUGUUGGGGAAGAAAAGCAGCUGGCUAAUACCCGGUUGUUCUGACGGUACCCAAAGAAUAAGCACCGGCUAACUUCGUGCCAGCAGCCGCGGUAAUACGAAGGGUGCAAGCGUUACUCGGAAUUACUGGGCGUAAAGCGUGCGUAGGUGGUUGUUUAAGUCUGUUGUGAAAGCCCUGGGCUCAACCUGGGAAUUGCAGUGGAUACUGGGCGACUAGAGUGUGGUAGAGGGUAGUGGAAUUCCCGGUGUAGCAGUGAAAUGCGUAGAGAUCGGGAGGAACAUCCAUGGCGAAGGCAGCUACCUGGACCAACACUGACACUGAGGCACGAAAGCGUGGGGAGCAAACAGGAUUAGAUACCCUAGUAGUCUC
rnacentral:rRNA from 1 species